rnacentral:lncRNA from 1 species
GGGGCCUUAGGUGUAGGCCUUGAGGUUCACAAUCAAAAUUAACUUUAAGUACCCAGGCGUGCCACUGCCAUCUUUAGCAUGACAGAUGUAAAACCGAUGUUAAGUUUAUUGUAUAUGUAUAUAUGCCCGAGCGACCCAGUUAAUUCUGAAAGGUGCCUUUGUGGGGCCUUAGGUGUAGGCCUUGAGGCUUCCCGUCAAAACUAAUCGAAUACUUGAACACAUCUUGGUUGUUUCAUUGUUUGUAGAAGUAUUACACCUGUUAUACUUUUAAUUGCCCAAGCCCGUCGAGCAGAAUGAAUUCAAAUAGGUGCCUUUGUCGGGCUUUAGGUAUAGGCCUUAAGGCUUCAUAUCAGAGUUAAUUCCAUACUCAAACGUUCUAUAGGAAUUAUGAUAUAACAUAAGUAAGACUAGAGAAUAAGACAAUUACUUGCGCCCUAAGUAACUUCGGGCUUCUUGUUAUCACGGAUUGUCGUGGAUGGGUUAAGUCCACAUAAGGUUCUUUUUAUGCCUUACCAAGGACUUUUAAUUGAUCAAUCUCGUCUGCCCGAAUGAUUAAAACUUAUAAGUCUUUUAAUCAUAAAUUAACUAGCAUUAACUUGGAUGCAAAUGAAAACAUACAUCAUAGUACUAGAUCUAUGAAUGAAAGACAACAACAAAGGAGGUUGGGCAAGGUUUCACCUUGUCGGGCAAGGCUGAUCGUCUUGCAACUUCCUCUCUUUGUGAUUUACAGAGUAUUCAAAUGCUAGAAAGGGGAGAUUGGAAGAUGAGUUUAUAUGAGGAAAUCGAUACUACAGCAAGAUUUAAACAGGGUAGCAAAGCUUUUACAAAGGAUUCCUAGUGAAGGUUGAUCCCGAACGGGAUGAAGAUUGGGGGCUGACUACAGCUUCGUGAAGGCAAAUCUGGUUUGAGCAGAGUUUGUGCUUGUAUUUGUUUGUUUGAUUGAGUGUCCUUGUCUCUAAUUUUUCUUCGUCCUUUUAUAGACGAUUUGGCUUGGCUGUCUGCAGUAGUGAUUUUGCCCGAAUGCAUCUGAAGGGCAAUGACUCAUCAACUUUUUACUUAUACUACCAUUGUAAAGUACUUUUGGGCUGAUUAGCUGGCUGGCCUACACCACUUGACCUUUAGGUAGGUGAGCAGGUGGUUUGAUGAUCUGCACUUGGUCAGGAAACAAACCCCUUCUUUCUUCUGGGCUUCGGCUGGGCCUUGGACUUCUUCUUUUGAACCUCCUUUUGGGCUUUCUUUUGGGCUAACCCAAAGUUCAAGUUUUAUCCCAAAUAGGAGGCCCUUAAGGAAAGGGGUUCCCAUUUGACGUAGCUGCUAAAUUCAUAAUUGAAAAUAAGUUAUGAAAUUCUAUUUAUGCUGAAUGUUUCCGUUUUGCAGGAUGAAGUUUUGGCUCUUCGACAAGUGCUAACAUGGGCGAUUAGACUCAAGUUGUCAAGACUAGAGAUUGAAGGAGACUGAAAUUUAGAUAUGAGUUUAAAAAAAGAGAUCAAUGUGUCAUGGAAUAUUUGACCAAUUGUCCAGGAUAUUGGGUAUUUAAUCGAUCAAAUUUCAUCCGACAUAUCUUUUGGGGAAAAAAAUUAUGGUGGCUGAUAUCUUAGCUUCCUUAGGACAAUUAUAUGAUCACUCAUUGUGCGUGGUUUAGUAGUUUUCUUUCUUUUAGAGUAAGCUAUAGAAUUUGUCCUUAAAUUUUACUAUGGUUUAGAAGUCCUUAAGUUUUAUUUAAUGCAGAAAAUUGGUAUGCUAUUAAAUUUUCUGUCAAAACUGUUGUAUGAAUUUAGUGAGGGAAGAAAAAGGGAGAUUGGCCAGAGAGAAGAGAAGGGAGAGAGGAACUUGAUGAAUUAUGUGUGUGUUAUUCCUCAUGCCUUGUGCCUUUAUUUAUAUUAAUAAGGGAGACAGAAAUUUGCUCUCCAAGUAAUACAAGUUGUACAAGGAAAGAUCUUUUAGAUCUCUAGGAUUCUUGUGCAUAAUCUAUUAACAUUUACACAAUCAAACUACUAAUGAAAUUAGAAAUGCAACACUCCCCCUUGAGUAGGUAAAUACUCAAGUAAAUGGCACAUCAAGUCUUCAUGUGAUAAUGUAGAAAUAGUUACUGAAGUAGUCUUAUCUAGUUGGCACAUUGAAGCAAAUGCGAGUUUAAAAAAUAAACGGAAGAAUGCGUAAGUAAUUAAACUCACAAAACUUGUCUAUGGUAGAACCCAAUGUACGAUAAAAGCCAUAGUCUAAUGAGAAAUGUGAGAAGUUGCAUUAAGUUAAAACUAAACGUCUUCAGGACGCAAGUAGAACACACACAAGCGUAUGACUAGCCUAUGAUAGGUGCCUCGUUAAAACCUUAUUAGGUAGCAAAAACCCAGUGGAAUAAAUGCUCCUAAUAUAAGAAAAAAGAGUACAUUAAGGUCAAGUAAGUAUACUUCUGGGACUUAACGUUUGAGAUAGUUUACGCAUACUAAUUCCUCAGACAAAUUUUUGGAAGUUUGACUUCAAUGGUGACUUCGUGAAGAGGUCAGUAAGGUUGUCUCGAGUUCAGAUCUGCUUGACUUCAAUCUUUUGAUACUUUGCUAAUGUGAUGAUGGUGCAAUAUGCUUGGUGUUGGCUUUGUUGAUGUAUCAUGUCUUGGUCUAGUUGAUACAUGCGAUAUUGUCUACAUAGAUUGUCCUUGAGACUUAAUGAUGCAUAAAAAACCGCAUGCACUUUGAAUAUGCUCAACAAGAGCUCUCAACCAUAUCUCUCACGUGUGGCAUUGUGAGGUAUGGUGAGCUUUGGAACGAUAAGAAGAUUUGGCAACUAAGGUCUAUUUCGUGGACCUUAGAUAUUGCGAUAUCCCUAAUAGUAAAGACAUAACCAUUUGGAAACUUGCCUUGUGCGUAUUUGAUAAAUAACCAAUGUUAGCAUAACAAACAAGGAAAGCAUCAUUGCGAGGAUCAAGGGGUUGGAUCCACUCGGGAUACAUAGGGAUAAGCCCAAAUCUAUAGUACCUUUAAGGUAGUGGAAAAACGACUUUAAUGCCAAUUCAGUGGAUGUGUGCAGGCCUAAUGUUGUAUCUUUACCAACAUAUCAAUAGUGAAGGAGAUGUCAUGUCUCAUGUAAUGAGAAAAGUACAACAAAUCACAAAGUUGAACUUAGAUAUGAAACUUCGAGUUCCACAACCUUUCCAAGGUAUUCACUAGCAUCUAGCGUAUGAACAAUCAUGGGCAUACUCAAAACAACACCUUCAAAGUGAAGUUCGACUAGUAGACCAUAUUAUUGUUAGAACAAUGCUUGAACUUCAAGUAAGACAUAAAUAAGUUUUUCCAAGAUCCUUCAUCUCAAAUGCCGUCUUCAGGUGCGAGGUAGUUUUCUCAAGCUCUUCCAGAGUCUUAGUGAGAUUUAU